UCGCUAGUAAUCGUGGAUCAGAAUGCCACGGUGAAUACGUUCCCGGGCCUUGUACACACCGCCCGUCACACCAUGGGAGUGGGCUGCAAAAGAAGUAGGUAGUUUAACCUUCGGGGGGACGCUUACCACUUUGUGGUUCAUGACUGGGGUGAAGUCGUAACAAGGUAGCGCUAGGGGAACCUGGCGCUGGAUCACCUCCUUAAACGAUGAU
rnacentral:rRNA from 1 species